rnacentral:rRNA from 1 species
UGCCAGCCGCCGCGGUAAUACGGAGGGGGCGAGCGUUAUUCGGAAUUACUGGGCGUAAAGGGUGCGUAGGCGGCCCAUCAAGUUAGACGUGAAAGCCCCGGGCUCAACCUGGGAAUUGCAGUUGAUACUGGCAAGCUAGAGUACGGGAGAGGGAGGUAGAAUUCCAUGUGUAGCGGUGAAAUGCGUAGAUAUAUGGAGGAAUACCAGUGGCGAAGGCGGCCUCCUGGCUCGAUACUGACACUGAGGUGCGAAAGCGUGGGUAGCAAACAGGAUUAGAUA